rnacentral:lncRNA from 1 species
UGCAAUCUCUAGUUAAUCCUCUGAUUCUUCUCUUCCAUUUGAUUCUUGAACAAGCUCGAAGGUUCUUGAAAUACUUGAUUUGAUGACGCCAAUCCAAAGGACUUAAGUCAUGAUUUUGGAUUGAACGUUGAACUUGAUUUGAUUUGAGAAGAACGUCCUUAGAAUUUUGUAAGAACGCCUUGAAGCUUUGGGACUUGGUUGAUUUGAUUUGAGGAAGAUCGUUCUUGGAAUUUGUAAGAACGCCUUGAAGC